CGAUCGGUAGCCGGACUGAGAGGUUGAACGGCCACAUUGGGACUGAGACACGGCCCAGACUCCUACGGGAGGCAGCAGUGGGGAAUAUUGCACAAUGGGGGAAACCCUGAUGCAGCGACGCCGCGUGGAGGAAGAAGGUCUUCGGAUUGUAAACUCCUGUUGUUGAGGAAGAUAAUGACGGUACUCAACAAGGAAGUGACGGCUAACUACGUGCCAGCAGCCGCGGUAAAACGUAGGUCACAAGCGUUGUCCGGAAUUACUGGGUGUAAAGGGAGCGCAGGCGGGAAGACAAGUUGGAAGUGAAAUCUAUGGGCUCAACCCAUAAACUGCUUUCAAAACUGUUUUUCUUGAGUAGUGCAGAGGUAGGCGGAAUUCCCGGUGUAGCGGUGGAAUGCGUAGAUAUCGGGAGGAACACCAGUGGCGAAGGCGGCCUACUGGGCACCAACUGACGCUGAGGCUCGAAAGUGUGGGUAGCAAACAGGAUUAGAUACCCUGGUAGUCCACGCCGUAAACGAUGAUUACUAGGUGUUGGAGGAUUGACCCCUUCAGUGCCGCAGUUAACACAAUAAGUAAUCCACCUGGGGAGUACGACCGCAAGGUUGAAACUCAAAGGAAUUGACGGGGGCCCGCACAAGCAGUGGAGUAUGUGGUUUAAUUCGACGCAACGCGAAGAACCUUACCAAGUCUUGACAUCCUGCGACGAUGCUGGAAACAGUAUUUUCCUUCGGGACGCAGAGACAGGUGGUGCAUGGUUGUCGUCAGCUCGUGUCGUGAGAUGUUGGGUUAAGUCCCGCAACGAGCGCAACCCUUACUGUCAGUUACUACGCAAGAGGACUCUGGCAGGACUGCCGUUGACAAAACGGAGGAAGGUGGGGAUGACGUCAAAUCAUCAUGCCCUUUAUGACUUGGGCUACACACGUACUACAAUGGCGUUAAACAAAGAGAAGCAAGACCGCGAGGUGGAGCAAAACUCAGAAACAACGUCCCAGUUCGGACUGCAGGCUGCAACUCGCCUGCACGAAGUCGGAAUUGCUAGUAAUCGUGGAUCAGCAUGCCACGGUGAAUACGUUCCCGGGCCUUGUACACACCGCCCGUCACACCAUGAGAGCCGGGGGGACCCGAAGUCGGUAGUCUAACCGCAAGGAGGACGCCGCCGAAGGUAAAACUGGUGAUUGGGGUGAAGUCGGAACAAGGUAGCCGUAGGAGAACCUGCGGCUG
rnacentral:rRNA from 1 species